UUAAUUAAAAUAAUAUAAUAUUAUUUAUCACGAAGUUGAGGGAGCUAAUUAAUGUAUAUUUAUAGAAAACAAGAUGUUGCAUAAUUAAGAAAACAGUAAUUAGGGGUGAUAGGCUUCUCACACUCAACGAUAACUUGAUGGGUCAGAAAUGUAUUAGUACAUCGGCACUUUCAAAAUGAUAAGGUUUUGAAAGGCAAAUUAAUGCUUAAUAUAAUAUAUAAUUUAUCUUAUUUAAACAUUAAUACAAAAAUAUUUUAAUAUAAAUUUAUAGUAGUUGUUUAAAUUAUGAGCCUAUAGAAUUAAUUUUUUUUAAAGUAUACAUAAUGUUAAUAUUAGUAAUAAAAAGAUAUUAAUACUGAACUCGGCAAUUAAGCCUUUCAACUGUUUAUCAAAAACAUAGCUGUAUGUAUAAAUAUAUAGUGUUUUCUGCUCAAUGAGAAUUAAAUAGCCGCAGUACUCUGACUGUGCUAAGGUAGCGCAAUCAAUUGGCUUUUAAAUGGAGUCCUGUAUGAAAGAAACUAUGGAGGGCUACUUUCCUAUUAAUAAUAGCUGAAUUUACUAAAUAAGUGCAAAUUCUUAUAUAAAAAUAAAAGACGAGAAGACCCUAGAAAUUUGAAGUAAUAACUUUUUGUUGGGGCAACACAGUAACAAAUUAAUUUACUCUUAAAACACGAAAACUUUAAUUUGAUAGAUUAAAUUACUCUAGGGAUAACAGCAUAAUUUGGAAAAGUUUGUGACCUCGAUGUUGGAUUAGGGAAUUUACAUUUAGAAG
rnacentral:rRNA from 1 species